UAAAAGAAUGUUUUGUUUUCUUUUUCGAAGAAAAAAAAAAUUAUGUCAUGAACUUUUAGAAUCUUAAUAUCGGCUUGAACGCCACUAAAGAAAAAAGACUUUAGAAAAUUUAUAUAAUAAUUAAUUUAGAGUGAAAUGGUAUCUAAUAAGAUAAUACUUCCUGUUCUUCCAAAUAUUACCAAAGAUUUAUAUUUUAAAGGUUAUGUUAGUACAUCAAAGAACUUUACAAACAUUAUUUAUAUAACCCGAUAUUCAACAAAUAUUGAGGCUUUGUUUGAAGAAAAUAGUGAAAGUAAAAAUAUCAUAUAUGGAAAAUGUGGUGAUAUUCCACAAAAAAGAAAAAAAAUUAGAAAAUUUCAAAACUGGUUAUUACUGUACAAUGUUACGACAAAUCUUCAAAUAAAUGAAUUAAUCAUCAAUGGUAGUAAAAUAAAUGAUACACAAAAUUGUGUAGUAAUAAUAUACGAUCAUGAAGUCAUACUCAAUUCUGAAAUGAUCUGUGACACAGGGGAUUUUUUGAACUUACAAAAUUUUGUUCGAAAUGAAUAUAAUCAGUUCCCAAGUUCUAUAACAUAUGAACCAGCUUUUAAGAUUCCAUACUGGUUGUCAUCGUCUAUGUUCAUCCAGCAUAUUUUAAAUUAUAUGAAUGUGGCAAAAUGGCUCUUUAUUUCAAUUAAAGGAGAUAAAAAAAUAUCAAUAAGGCAAGGUAAUUUUAUUUUGGCAAUUAUGACAGAUCUCAUUUUAGGAUGGACUGCUAUGAAACUAAUCACACAGGAUAAAAAAGAAUUAAGUGUAAUGCUAAUGGGAAUGUUGGAGAAACUAAUAAACUUGCUGUAUACAUUACUAAAAUGGCUAAUGGGUGCUCCAGCUGGACUCAAACUUAAUAAUGCAUUUAAUAAAAUGCUAGGAAAAUAUUUUUCGUAUCAUGUUCAACUUUGGUGGCACUUUUUAGAUGUAUCUGGUGAAAAACUUGAUACAGCAUUACAGAUAUACCAUUAUUUGGGUUACUUUGGAUUUACAUUUCAAGCUGCUGUUAUAUCUGAUAUGAUAUCAAUAGCCACAUUCCAUUCUUACUGCAUAUAUGUAUAUGCUGCAAGGUUAUUCAAUCUACAAAUAUCUGGGCUAAUUGCUUUAUUAAGGUUUUUCGUUGGAAGAAAAUACAAUCCACUGAAAGGCAGUAUUGAUUCAUGUGAAUAUACCAACCAGGAACUAUUUGUUGGUACAGUAGCAUUUACAAUAUUGUUGUUGCUUUUACCAACUACAACCAUGUAUUAUAUUGUAUUUACUUUGUGUAACUUAUUAUCUUUUUUCAGUUUAGGAUAUUAGUACUUAUUAUACAGUAUCUAUUGGCUAAAUUGAUUUACACAAUACAAACUCUUCCAUUAUAUGUGGUAACUCUGUGGCUGUUGCACUCUCCUAAAGUAGCAGGAAAAAUCUCUAUGGAGGUAUUAAACAACAGAAAGAAAUCAUCAUAUUUAAUUAUAAGACUGAAGCUGUUUAGUAAGUCUAUUUGGGACUUGAUUACAGAUUUCAGAGCUCCAUUUGACGUACCGAAGCAAUUUGAAUGGACGAAUAUGCUAUCGAAUGUAUGUGUUGGGAAACAAAUUGUUUAACUGACUGAAAUAAAUUAUUAAUUGUUC